rnacentral:misc_RNA from 1 species
GAUGAAGAACGCAGCGAAAUGCGAUACUUGGUGUGAAUUGCAGAAUCCCGUGAACCAUCGAGUCUUUGAACGCAAGUUGCGCCCGAAGCCAUUAGGCCGAGGGCACGCCUGCCUGGGCGUCACACGUCGUUGCCCCCCCAUCUACUCCUUCGGGAUUGCGGGGGGCGGGUGAUGGCCUCCCGUGCGCCUCGUCGCGCGGUUGGCAUAAAUACCAAGUCCUCGGCGACGCACGCCACGACAAUCGGUGGUUGCGAAACCUCGGUUGCCCGUCGUGUGCGGUCGUCGCGCAUCGAGGGCUCGAAAAAAUUGCCGGGCUCCGGCUCGGCUUUCAACGCGACCCCAGGUCAGGCGGGGUUACCCGCUGAAUUUAAGCAUAUCAAUAAGCGGAGGA